UACGUAGGCAGCGAGCGUUGUUCGGAGUUACUGGGCGUAAAGGGUGUGUAGGCGGUUCUCUAAGUUUGGUGUGAAAUCUCCCGCUCAACCGGGAGGGUGCGCCGAAAACUGGGGGACUAGAGUGCGGGAUGGGAGAGUAGAAUUCCUGGUGUAGCGGUGAAAUGCGUAGAUAUCAGGAGGAAUACCGGUGGUGUAGACGGCUCUCUGGACCGCAACUGACGCUGAGACACGAAAGCGUGGGUAGCAAACAGG
rnacentral:rRNA from 1 species